GACGAACGCUGGCGGCGUGCUUAACACAUGCAAGUCGAACGGAAAGGCCCUGCUUUUGUGGGGUGCUCGAGUGGCGAACGGGUGAGUAACACGUGAGUAACCUGCCCUUGACUUUGGGAUAACUUCAGGAAACUGGGGCUAAUACCGGAUAGGAGCUCCUGCUGCAUGGUGGGGGUUGGAAAGUUUCGGCGGUUGGGGAUGGACUCGCGGCUUAUCAGCUUGUUGGUGGGGUAGUGGCUUACCAAGGCUUUGACGGGUAGCCGGCCUGUGAGGGUGACCGGCCACAUGGGGACUGAGAGACGGCCCAGACUGCUACGGGAGGCAGCGGUGGGGAAUAUGGCACAAUGGGCGGAAGCCUGAUGCAGCAACGCCGCGUGCGGGAUGACGGCCUUCGGGGUGUAAACCGCUUUCGCCUGUGACGAAGCGUGAGUGACGGUAAUGGGUAAAGAAGCACCGGCUAACUACGUG
rnacentral:rRNA from 1 species